UCUGUCAUUUUUGUAGGCCAAUA
rnacentral:miRNA from 12 species